rnacentral:rRNA from 1 species
CCUUACCAGGGCUUAAAUGUAGUGGGACAGGCUUAGAGAUAGGCUUUUCUUCAGACUCAUUACAAGGUGCUGCAUGGUUGUCGUCAGCUCGUGCCGUGAGGUGUCAGGUUAAGUCCUAUAACGAGCGCAACCCCUACCGUUAGUUGCCAGCGAGUAAUGUCGGGGACUCUAACGGAACUGCCGGUGCAAACCGUGAGGAAGGUGGGGAUGACGUCAAAUCAUCACGGCCCUUACGUCCUGGGCUACACACGUGCUACAAUGGCCGGUACAAUGAGCAGCCAUCUCGCAAGGGAGAGCGAAUCUAUAAAACCGGUCACAGUUCGGAUCGGGGUCUGCAACCCGACCCCGUGAAGCUGGAAUCGCUAGUAAUCGGAUAUCAGCCAUGAUCCGGUGAAUACGUUCCC